GAUGAAGAACGCAGCGAAAUGCGAUACGUAAUGUGAAUUCCAGAAUUCAGUGAAUCAUCGAAUCUUUGAACGCACAUUGCGCCUGCCAGCACUCUGGCAGGCAUGCCUGUUCGAGCGUCAUUUCAACCAUCAAGCCCUAGGCUUGCGUUGGAGCCCUGCGGCUGCCGCAGGCCCCUAAAAGCAGUGGCGGGCUCGCUAUCACACCGAGUGCAGUAGAUUACUCUUCGCUCAGGGCGUGUGGCGGGUUCCAGCCGUGAAACCCCCUACUUCUCAAGGUUGACCUCGGAUCAGGUAGGAAUACCCGCUGAACUUAAGCAUAUCAAUAAGCGGAGGA
rnacentral:misc_RNA from 1 species